rnacentral:lncRNA from 1 species
UAAGGCCAAUUAAAAUUAAUUGAUAGAUUUUCAUCCCCGCCCGCCCCUCUGAAAUCGUCCCGCCCCGAUUUUUUUUAUUUUGCAAAAUUUACGAUUUCCGGAUUUUGUUCAUUUCCGUUACCGGUAACCGUCAAUAAUUUCGUUUCAUUCGAACUUCCUGUUUAUAAAAUUUCGGUUUUCAUAUUUCUUGUUUCGAGUACUUUAAAACGAUUAUGUUGACAAAAUCUGCUGCUCAAUGAUGACAGUAUCAUCUACGGAGAAUAUAGAAAGAUUACCAGAAGGGCAUGAAAUAUUCGGGUUACGAGUAUUAAAUACGCUGUGUCCAACGCAAAUCGCGGUAUGUCACAAAUUGGAAAUUGUGGAUUUAUUUAAUAAUACAUUGACUUUGUGUAAGCAAAUUUGGGCUGUGAAUGAUUUCCAAAGUGCAAGAAUCGUGGAACAAAUUGGUAGAAAAAAAAGAGUUCAAAAAGUCGGCAAACAUACACAUUGUGUACUAGAAAACCUUAGAUUUACCUAUGGCUAUUGUUUUUGUUUAAAAACACAAAAUACCAUUUAUAAUGUAAUUAUAUAUGCGUCACUUCUUGCAUAACUUGAGAAUCUUAAAAGCGCCAACUUUACUAUUCCUGGCAACACUUGUUUGAGUGUUCAUUUCAUUCAUAAUACUUGUGCUGCAUACCAUUGCAUUUGCAUAAGUUUAUGGGGACUACAAACCAUCGCUUAGAGAGAGCAAAAUAAAUUUGGAGUUGGUAGUCAAAUGAAUAGAGAAUUUCUCCAUGGUUUUACUGUUUGCUGAAAAUAUGUUUCUAAAGUAGCAAUUGCAUGUAGAACAGUCCGCGUUGCAAAUCAGAGAUGUUUAUUCAAGAAUUAUGUACGAUUCUUUAUACAUGUUUAAACAUUUACAUGGUAUAAGCUAAAUUUUGUAAUUAUAACACUUGCAUAUAUAUGAAGUUCACGCCACAAGAAGGUUUCAAAUUGAAUAAAAUUUAAAAAAUAAAAUCCUCCCACCCGCCCCAUUUUUUUCAAAACUUUGGAUGAAAAUCUACUAAUUAAUUUUAG